UACGUAGGGGGCAAGCGUUGUCCGGAUUUAUUGGGCGUAAAGAGCGUGUAGGCGGUCAGGUAGGUCGGUUGUGAAAACUGGAGGCUCAACCUUCAGAGGUCGACCGAAACCCCCUGGCUAGAGUCCGGGAGAGGAGAGUGGAAUCCUGGUGUAGCGGUGAAAUGCGCAGAUAUCAGGAAGAACACCCGUGGCGAAAGCGGCUCUCUGGAACGGUACUGACGCUGAGACGCGAAAGCGUGGGGAGCGAACAGG
rnacentral:rRNA from 1 species